rnacentral:rRNA from 1 species
UACGGAGGAUCCAAGCGUUAUCCGGAAUCAUUGGGUUUAAAGGGUCCGUAGGCGGUUUAAUAAGUCAGUGGUGAAAGCCCAUCGCUCAACGGUGGAACGGCCAUUGAUACUGUUAAACUUGAAUUAUUAGGAAGUAACUAGAAUAUGUAGUGUAGCGGUGAAAUGCUUAGAGAUUACAUGGAAUACCAAUUGCGAAGGCAGGUUACUACUAAUGGAUUGACGCUGAUGGACUGAAAGCGUGGGUAGCGAACAGGGA